rnacentral:rRNA from 1 species
AACUUUCCAGAGAUGGAUUGGUGCCUUCGGGAACUGUGAGACAGGUGCUGCAUGGCUGUCGUCAGCUCGUGUUGUGAAAUGUUGGGUUAAGUCCCGCAACGAGCGCAACCCUUAUCCUUUGUUGCCAGCGAUUAGGUCGGGAACUCAAAGGAGACUGCCAGUGAUAAACUGGAGGAAGGUGGGGAUGACGUCAAGUCAUCAUGGCCCUUACGACCAGGGCUACACACGUGCUACAAUGGCGCAUACAAAGAGAAGCGACCUCGCGAGAGCAAGCGGACCUCAUAAAGUGCGUCGUAGUCCGGAUUGGAGUCUGCAACUCGACUCCAUGAAGUCGGAAUCGCUAGUAAUCGUGGAUCAGAAUGCCACGGUGAAUACGUUCCCGGGCCUUGUACACACCGCCCGUCACACCAUGGGAGUGGGUUGCAAAAGAAGUAGGUAGCUUAACCUUCGGGAGGGCGCUUACCACUUUGUGAUUCAUGACUGGGGUGAAGUCGUAACAAGGUAACCGUAGGGGAACCUGCGGUUGGA